CCUAGCGUACUGCGGAGGAUCAUUACUGAGUUUUGAGUGGGCUUGAUGCUGGCAUCUCUCGAUGCAUGUGCUCAGCCCCGCUCUCAAAUCCACUCAACACCUGUGCACUUUCAAAGUUGUAGUCCUCCGUAAUGGGAGUCGCAAGUCUUUAUUGGCUUGUUGGGACUGCACUUUGCCAUUUAUCACAAACGAUUUAUAUUGUUUUGUAAAAUGUCUAGCCUCUUAGUAGGUGAAACUUAAUACAACUUUCAACAACGGAUCUCUUGGCUCUCGCAUCGAUGAAGAACGCAGCGAAAUGCGAUAAGUAAUGUGAAUUGCAGAAUUCAGAAAUCAUCGAAUCUUUGAACGCACCUUGCGCUCCUUGGUAUUCCGAGGAGCAUGCCUGUUUGAGUGUCGUGAAAUUAUCAACUCCCAUUCUUUGUUGAUUGGUGAGCUUGGACUUGGGGACUGCUGGUGCAAAUCAGCUUCCCUUGAAUGAAUUAGCUGGAAUUUGAUUCGCAGCAUAUAUGCGGUGUGAUAAUGUCGUCACUGUGUAGCUCGGAUUGCCUGGCUUCUAAUCGUCCUUCACGGACAACUUGAUCUUUUGACCUCAAAUCAGGUAGGACUACCCGCUGAACUUAAGCUAUCAAAAACGGGAAGAAACCCAA
rnacentral:rRNA from 1 species